UACGGGGGGGGCAAGCGUUGUUCGGAAUUACUGGGCGUAAAGGGCGCGUAGGCGGCCGCCUAAGUCAGACGUGAAAUCCCUCGGCUUAACCGGGGAACUGCGUCUGAUACUGGAUGGCUUGAGUUUGGGAGAGGGACGCGGAAUUCCAGGUGUAGCGGUGAAAUGCGUAGAUAUCUGGAGGAACACCUGAGGCGAAGGCGGGUUGCUAGGCUGACACUGACGCUGAGUGCGCGAAAGCCAGGGGAGCAAACGGG
rnacentral:rRNA from 1 species